rnacentral:rRNA from 1 species
UACGUAGGGUGCAAGCGUUAAUCGGAAUUACUGGGCGUAAAGCGUGCGCAGGCGGUUGUGCAAGACAGAUGUGAAAUCCCCGGGCUUAACCUGGGAACUGCAUUUGUGACUGCACGGCUAGAGUGUGUCAGAGGGGGGUAGAAUUCCACGUGUAGCAGUGAAAUGCGUAGAUAUGUGGAGGAAUACCGAUGGCGAAGGCAGCCCCCUGGGAUAACACUGACGCUCAAGCACGAAAGCGUGGGGAGCAAACAGG